rnacentral:rRNA from 1 species
AGAGGGUGCGAGCGUUGUCCGGAAUCACUGGGCGUAAAGGGCGCGUAGGCGGCCCGGUAUGUAGGGGGUGAAAUCUCGCGGCUCAACUGCGAGGCUGCCUCCUAAACUGCCGGGCUCGAGCACAGUAGAGGCAGGUGGAAUUCCCGGUGUAGCGGUGGAAUGCGUAGAGAUCGGGAAGAACAUCGGUGGCGAAGGCGGCCUGCUGGGCUGUUGCUGACGCUGAGGCGCGACAGCGUGGGGAGCAAACAGGAUUAGAUACCCUGGUAGUCCACGCCGUAAACGAUGGGUACUAGGCGCCGGGGGGAGCGACCCCUUCGGUGCCGUCGCUAACGCAAUAAGUACCCCGCCUGGGGAGUACGGCCGCAAGGC